UACGAAGGGGGCUAGCGUUGCUCGGAAUCACUGGGCGUAAAGGGUGCGUAGGCGGGUUUUUAAGUCAGAGGUGAAAGCCUGGAGCUCAACUCCAGAACUGCCUUUGAUACUGAAGAUCUCGAGUUCGGGAGAGGUGAGUGGAACUGCGAGUGUAGAGGUGAAAUUCGUAGAUAUUCGCAAGAACACCAGUGGCGAAGGCGGCUCGCUGGCCCGAUACUGACGCUGAGGCGCGAAAGCGUGGGGAGCAAACAGG
rnacentral:rRNA from 1 species